GAUGAACGCUGGCGGCGUGCCUAAUACAUGCAAGUCGAGCGAACGGACGAGAAGCUUGCUUCUCUGAUGUUAGCGGCGGACGGGUGUGUAACACGUGGAUAACCUACCUAUAAGACUGGGAUAACUUCGGAAAACCGUAGCUAAUACCGGAGAAUAUUUUGAACCGCAUGGUUCAAAAGUGAAAGACGGUCUUGCUGUCACUUAUAGAUGGAUCCGCGCUGCAUUAGCUAGUUGGUAAGGUAACGGCUUACCACGGCAACGAUGCGUAGCCGACCGGAGAGGGUGAUCGGCCACACUGGAACUGGGCCCGGGUCCAGAGUCCUACGGGAGGCAGCAGUCGGGUAUCUUCCGCAAUGGGCGAAAGCCUGACGGAGCAACGCCGCGUGAGUGAUGACGGUCCUCGGAUCGUAAAACUCUGUUAUUAGGGAAGAACAUAUGUGUAAGUAACUGUGCACUUCUUGACGGUACCUAAUCAGAAAGCCCCGGCUAACUACGUG
rnacentral:rRNA from 1 species